ACACUCUAAAAUGGAGGUAGGGAAAGAGCUGGGUAGGCAGAUGGGAGACUUGGGCUCACCAAGGUCAGGUUUCUCCUAACAGAAAGACCACAGUGGAACAGAAUACAAAGACCACAGAUGCAAGGCUGAGCAUCAAACAAAGGGCGAGACAUCUGUUAUCCAGAGCCCAGACCUUUCUGAAAAGGGACAAACUUCAACACAGUGACCUUAACCUGAAUGGAAGAAAGGGCACGUGAAGAGCACAUUGUCACUGAAUGCCUUACCCAGGAGUGGGCUGGGGGCUGAUUUUCUUAACCCUUAGAUCCUUAUAAAACCUGAGACAACUGCCACUCACUGGCAAUCCUCUCUUGGGACCCCACCCAUGCAGGAGUUCCGCUUUUUUUAUAUUGUUUUUGUAAUUUCUGACACUUUGCCCUCACCCUUCCACUAUUUGUGUCUGAAAUUCUUUUAAUGGAUUAACAAGGCAAAGAACCCACUCAACUCCAUGGUAUGUGUUACAAAAUAACUGUAGACUAAUUAUGUCAGGAAACUAGACUGAUGUGGGAAGUGCUAUUACCUACUGCCCAUCCCCACAUCCUGCCUGUCCCCAGAAUGGGGCUGCAGUUGAACCCUUAUGAGAUCACACAGGGAAGAUCCUUUCAGACCUCACUAAGAAGAAUGAAUUCUCCACCUUGAAAAUGUGAAGGCAGCACCCAAUAUUCUGUACAGCUGCUGAAACUAAUUCUGACCUCCACGCAGGAAUUUCCUUCUUCUAGGACAACACCCUCUCCUCAGUGCCAUUGCCAUACUUUCCAGGCAGCAGACGCAAUCCUGCUUAUGACAGAAAAAACAGAGAUCCAAAGCGCAAUUCAUGGAUAAGUGGACAGGCCCUCAUGAAGUACUCCUCAUCGCUCAGACAUUUCUAACUCUCAUUCACCACAUCUGAGGAGGAAAGACACCACCAGAAGAUGAUUUGCCCUUCUCAUCCUGGGAACCCACAGUCCCUGGUUAGUGGACCACCACUCUAUAAAUCUCACAUGUCUGUUCAGGAGACAACCCUAGAUGGAAUAUAUCAAGCUUUCAUGUGUUCAAUGAUUGUUCCUCUUGACCUUCUCUGUCCCUCCCUAAAACCAGGUCAGAGUCCUUUCCACCUGGUUACAAAUUGGGCUCUCUGUUUUUGAUCUCCAUCAUCAGGUGGAUGGUUGAGACUGUGGAGAGCUCCCUCUGCUGGACACUGACUAAGGAAUUUGGAAAAUUCAGGCGGCCAAUCAAAGUACAUGGCAGCAGGUCCCUAACUGGCUCAGAUCAAGGGGGAUAGCUGCCAUGCUCAACCCAAAAUGCCUCCUUCCCCCUUCUAACCAGGAGAGUCCUGAGAUGUUCAAAAUCAAGGCUGAGAAGUGAAAACCUGUCUCUUCUAGAAAGAGAAGGAUUUGACACCACUCCAGACAAAAGCCAUGGAGUAGGUGAUGGAGCCAGAUGGCUACUGGCAGGAGAAGCUGAAUGGGUGAGAGAUCCACCUCAUGUACUGUGCACUACAUGCAUUUUGUGGAACUCCCCACCGAGUAGAUUGGGCUCCCCAAAAGUUGUAGAAUGCAACCAUCACGCUGAAGGAGACCAUGUGCCUUGGCCUAUAGAUACAUUCUUGGGAAAUGAAGAAUCUCCUUUUCUGGCCUACUCAGAAUGUUUCUUGAGUUGAAGGGAUGCUGGCCCCUGAUCUAGUGCCCCAACUGGAAGUGUAAAGGGAAGACUCACACUUGCUGUACGACCUGCCACCUGUCACACACUUAAUUGGUUUUGAAGGGUCUGCAUCAUCAGUCACAUCCACCAGGGGCCCCACUGCUCAUAUUUUUCCCUUUCCGAGGUGGCCUCUUCUUUUUGAUUCUUUGUGUAGUUUGUGAGUCUUGGGCCAAUCACCAUCAGGAACAUCUUCCACAGAGAGUGCAGGCAUGGCAUCAGAACACCUGGGCCAGGAAGAACAAGAAAAGAAAACUCACUUUUGUUUUGAACCUAGGGAAAAAUUAAUUCAAGGGUGUAACAUAUUCUUGAGGCAUUUGUGUCAUUCUUCUUUGACAAAGCAGGAGUGCUUCCUGAGUACAUCUUCCCACUUUCUGGAAUUGGGAUGGUAGUAGAGUGUUUUCUGUGUGAACAAAAAAAAAACUUAAUCCGAUGUUAGUGUUAAGGAAAUAUUGAGAGGUUUUCAAUAUGUGGACCAAUGCAUGUGGAGCUCUGUGGUCAUCAUCCCCAUGCUCACAGCCCUCCCAGGGAAGUCUAAACAGAAAAUGACUAUAGCUCUCAGCCCCCAGAGUAGAUGGAGGUCCAAGGGCCAACCACUGCUCCUGAAAUUGGGUCAUUGGAAAUUCAUACCAUCAGCUAAACUGAGCAGGGGCCUCUUCUGGAGACUGUAGCUGGGUAGGAAAGCUGACACCGUCACUGCUGACUGGCUGGAGGUGCAGGGUUGUCCCUCUAUAUAACUAAGAGUCCUCAUGGGAAGAACCAAUCUCCUGGAGCUCCUCACACCUCCACACAUCUCCCUCCAGUUAGCACACCAGCUGCUCAGGAGAAAGGUCAGACAAAGUUUCCCUCAUGUUUCCAGUGGGGAUAGAGGAAACUGAGGCAUUGGCUUCUAGGUCCACCUGGAUCCAUCCUCCUUUCAUGAAUACAACAUAUUCCCUAUGAAGAAACCAUCUGAGCAGAGCCUAACCAGCCUGGGUUCCCUGGCAUGUGGGAAGGGAAGGCUCCAAAUGUAGUCCCAUCUGGCCUUUUAUUGGGGAGAAUGGAAAUAACUUCCUCCAGUUUCCUCUGCACUUCCAGUCACAUCUGAAGAGGAGGAAUGAGAAGGACUUGAGAAAGUCACAGCCCAGGGUCUCAGGCUCAAUUACUGACUGGUCUCAGGAUUAAUGAAGGCUUCCUCCCUCCAUACCUCACCCUGCAACUCUAGGACCUCCAUAUACUAAUGGCAGUUUUCACAAGACGGAAUUGUAAGACUCAGACCUUAUGAAGAUAUCCUUAGGAAAACCAAAGUCACAAGCCCUUAAAAAAUACAGCUCAUCAUCACACCACAACUCUGAGCCAAUAAAAUAUAAACUAGAUCUAGAGGCCUACAAGCCUCUGUUCCUUUUCGCCAGUACAUCAUGUCCACAGCAGGACUAAAUGUGAAAAGUGCACUAACAAAAGGCAUCAUUUGAAGAGACAGAGGCAGCAGUAGAACCAUCCUGAAACAUGCAGUGAAGAGAGCCUUGGACAACUGAGAAAGAGAAACAAGUGUGGUUAAUAUGCUAGGGCUCUAAAGGACACAUAGGGCACAUGUGAUAUGAACAGAGAGAAUGUGCAGUGUGGAUAGAGCAAGCCUGGGAGCCAGGUUCUGAUUUGGCAGAAAUAUUGCAAUGGUAAGGCUAGGACUUUAAAAUCACUAAGAUCAAUAUGUGCCUGGUUGCAAAGUGAAAGACAGCGUGCAAGAACUGAUGAGGGAUGGAAAGGGGACAGGGCAAACUCUAGUGAGAAUACAAACAUGAAGGUUAGUUGUUAAAAAUGUCCUCACAGGAGAGGGCCUUCCAUACAUGGGCUUCUGCAUAGACUGGGCAGUGGCCAAGGAUUCAAAAGAGUCAUUUGAAGUGAACUGAACAAACUCUGAGAAUACAGAGAAGCAAUACAGAAACCUGCCAGAGCAGGUGAGCAAGAGAUUGCACUAAGUUUCCAAAAUCACUCCAGAAUUCUGCCCCUGAGAAUUACAGUGAAUGAGCUCCAAAACAUACAGAGCCUCCUAGCAGAAUUGAUCACCCAGAGGGAAGAACCAGUGAGCUCCAACACAGUUCACUUAAAUGCCAAAGAGAGCAGAAACAGAGGAAGAAGAUGAAGUAGGAAUAAAGAAAGUGUAGGAGACUUGGGGAAGCAACAUGAAGGGCCAUCUCUUAAGAUAAAUUGGUUGUCUUCUCAGCAAAUGUUAAAACUACACUGAAACUACCAGAGUAUAAGAACAGUAGUGAAUAAACUGGCCAUAUUUCAAUGUGGAAAACAAAGUAGAAAAUCUUCAUGAUCAUUAGAACCCUAUGCAUGUUACAUUAGCAAAAUCAUUGACCCAAAACAUGCAUGCUAAAGAAUUUCUACAACACAGUUCUCUUACUCUUCAAUAAUCUGCUCGUGUCCAUCAGAAAGAUGCUGCAUCCUUAAUGACUUCUUGCCACAGUCCCUUCAAUGACUAUAAGUGAACUGAAAGACAAAAUACAUGAAAAAAAUGAGCCUGAUCUCAAAGUCCAUUAAGCAACUGAUGAGCAGUAAGGACAGCCUCCUGGACCCACCUCUGCCAAUCAUGGCUAAAAAGCCUCCUGUAAAAAGGAGAAACAGACUACAACAACAUUCAGAAGAGUGGUGACGUGUUGCACAAUGGGAUACAUAAGCUGGCUUUCUAAAUAACUGUCCUUGCUCCUCAGUCACCACAGAAUACACUAAGAGGAUUAUUCUGCACCUAUUUUAUAAAUUCCAUGUGGGAAAAAUAAUACUACUACCAAAAGUGGGGGUGCGGGGAAUGCAGUGCCAAGGAGCAGGCCUUGGUUGGGUCAUCACCUCUAGGAUUCCAGCUCUCCUUUAGCUUGACUUCCAUCUCUUCACAUUUCUACCAGGACACUUAACUUACUGAGAGCCAUGUUGCCUGGCCCAGAAGGCUGAUCCUUGUAAAGACUAGUGUUGGAGUUCCGUCUAGGGCUUCCUCCUAGUUCAUCAUACAAAUACCUUGUGGCAAUUCUUCUAUUUUAAAGGGUAGGCUGAUUGACAAGCCCACCUCACCAAACAAACAAACAAAAAAACAAUGAAACCAACAAACAAAAAACAGUGGUUUCAUGUGAAAUGUGAUAUGGAACAGUUUUUGAGAGCUGUUCCAUUCCCUUAAUGACUGGUUGUCUCAAUUGUUGGGGGUUUGGAUCAAAAUGAGAUUUCCUGGAAAUCUUUAUCAUUUCCCCAGAUUUUUACUGCUGCAGUAUGUCUUAGCUCCCCCUACCUCCAACCGCUACCCCUUGGUCCCUUUUCUCCACUCGUCAUUCCCACAUUUCUUUUCCUUUUUGUUCUUUUUUUUUUUUUUUUUGCAUAUCAGAGGAAGCAUACAUCCCAUAUUUGUGCAUCUAAGUUAUUUGUGGAUGUUGGUGUGUAGGUUUUUUUCUAGAUGUGUCCUCAUCUGGCUUUGGUAUGUGUGCAAUGGUGGCUUUAUAAAUUUGGAACGUGUUCAUCCCUUUGUAUUUCAUGGAGUAAUUUGAGGUGUUUUGGCAUCAGUUCUCCUUUAAAGGUUUUUGGUACACCUCAGCUGGGAGUCCAUCCAGCCCUGGGUUUUUCUUUGCUAGAGACAAUAAUUAAAAGCCUUCCAUCUCAUUACAACUCAUUGGUCUGUUUGGGUUUUCUUUUGCUCUUGAUUCAGUUUUGGUAGAUCCUAUUUAUCUAGAUAUGUAUUCAUUUAUUCUAGGUUUUCCAAUGUAUUGGCGUACCAGUUUCAAAGUAGUCUCUAAUGAUCUGCUGGAUUUCUGUGGUAUCUAUGGUGAUUUCACCUUUUUAAUCUCUAAUUUUAUAAACUUGGAUUUUCUCUCCUUUUCUCUUGGUUAUGUUAGCAUUAUCCAUCUUGUUUACGUUUUCAAAGAAACACUGUUUCAUUGGUCCUUAAUGUUGUUAUUUUUUUAUUCCCAAGUGCAUUAAUGUUGGCUCUGAUCUUAUUUCCUUCCUUCCUUCAGUGUUUGCUCCUCCACCAUAGCCUGGCUUUUACACCAUUUCCCAUUUACACGGUGCAUGAUGGGGGCUUCCUCAGUAGAGGGCGCUGAAGUGACACUGCAGGAAGCAGAGGCCUCUUGUGGUUAAGCUACUGCACCAUUGCUCUGUGAUGCUGGUAUGAGUCCAUGUGAGGGCAGCCUGGAUCAGGUGAGGGGAUUCUCAGAUCCUGAGGAAGGCUUUGGUCUCCAGGAAAAUUUUCCAACCCUUUCCAAGCUGAUCUUAGGUGAUGGUGCCCUCCUAGUGAAUGGUCCAACUGUAGUGGGAGGUACUGACUCUGAGUUCAGAACUUGGCAGUCCCUGGCUCUACCCAUGCCCACCUGAGUGGUAACACAACAACCACACUGCCUUUACCGGGCGCAUAUUCCCAAGGGUCCCCCAUGCCUUUCUGUUCAGAGGAAGCUGUGAGAGCCAUGGAAGCUGCUCCCACAGGUAAGGAAGUUUCAGGUGGGCUGAGGGAAGGACAUGCCUGGCUGCCCCUACAUGUGCUCACCCAUGCCCACCUGCUUGUCCCCCAGGGGUGAAGACCUGGCACAAGGCAGAAGAUGCUGCAGACUACUGAAGAUGCUGCAGACCUUGAAGAAAAAGGGAGAAGAUGACCAAGAUUCAUCAAUGGAUGUGUCCUGUCUACUGGAAACCUUCAGAGCACUCAUCCUCCAGGAGCCAAGGAAUGGCCUGGUUCCUGUCCUGCAAAGGGGAACACCUCCUAUGGCCAUGAAUUUUUAUAUUCCUACCCAAAUCGGGUUAAUCCUCAGAAGGUGCUGGAGCUGCUGUGUAGUAAAAGGUCCAGCACCACCCCAAGUGAUGUAAUUGCCUCCAGCAGCCAUGGCCUAAUUUACCUGCUUAUAUUUUUGGAGCAUAUUAUCACAUUCCCUGUGAAGGAGGAGGAAUAGCCCUGAAAACCGAAGUUGGCCCUACACCAGCACUGAACACACAGGAAGAUAUGGAGCCAUGAGUGGCCACUGUAAACAUUCAGGAAGAGGAGACACCUUAGCUACAACUAAGCAAAUCAUGGCUCACCAUCCUCUUAUUCUCCAAGACACACUAUUGAAGUAGAACCAUUAAUAAAUCAGUAAUGGUCUGUACUAUUUAAAUAAAAGGAAGAGUCUUAUGCUUUGCACUUCACAUAAAAAGCUGUGCAUCUUGCACUACUUUGUCACACUGAGAAUGCAAAGGAAAUGUUCAUGAAGGAAAUUAAAGGGCUGCUCCAGGGCAUAUGUAAAUGACAAAAAGGAAAUAACAGCAUUAUUUCUCAUUCGGAAAAAAACUUUUCAUAGUGUGGAGAAAAGAAGAAACGACCCACGUUCCAUUCAGCCAAAGCCAAAUCCAGAUAAGGCCAUCACGUUACAUUGUUCUACUGACGAGAGAAUUGAGAAAGCUGCAGAAGAAGUUUGAAGUUGCCAGAGUUUGUUUGAUGAUGUUCUUGGCAAGAGGCUCCUCUCCAUAAAAUAAAAGUGCAAGGCAAAGAAGCAAGUACUGAUGCAGAAGCUCUUGCAAGUCAUCAAGGAGGUCUUGCUAACCUAUUUGAUGAAGAUGUUUUGUGGGUUAGGUAGUAGGUGUCCCCAGAAGCUCACAGGUGAGCCAAUGCAAGGUUUAUCAGUGAGAUGAUUCAGUUUUGAGAUCAGUGAGUUAAUCCCUUGACAGAAAUAAACAGGCAGCAGGCAUGGAAGGGCAUGUGAUGGACCCUUCCCAAGCCUGGGGGUGCAGGUGGCACCUGUGGAAGUGUCCAGUGGCUCUGAAAUAAGUCUGGUAUCCAGAACUGGAGCCUACAGAGGCCAGCCUUAGCAUUCCACAGCAGAGUUCCACAUUGGAGUUUCCCAGUGACCCGGAGCAGUGCAGGAUUCUGUAGCAGGAGCAUCCAUCUGUGAGGAGGAUGUCAAACAGGAGUCCCAUGGCAGUUUGGGGAGUCCAGAUGUAUCAGUGGCAGGAUGGAGACUUGGCCUCAGGCUUGGAGGACAGCCACGAGCAGGAACCAGGACAGUGAAGCCUUGGUGUUGGGCCUCUGUGGAUGUCAGUUUCUGGAGUUCAGUUAUGGCAGCGGUGGCAAAGGCAACUGAGGAGUCUGGAGGUGGUGGCAGCAAGCCAGGCAUCCAGACAGGAGCAUCCUCAUCCUCUGGUGGUGGUGGGAGUCUGUUCCCAAUGCAGUGGUGGUGGCCGCAGCAUUACUGGUGGCUAUGUGGGGACUCCAGUGGCCACAGUGUGGAGCUCUGGUAGCGGUGAUGGUGACAGCAUGGGACAGUGGGCCUCAGAGUCAGAGGGCAACUGGAGGCUGUGAUGGUCUCUGCAGUGGCUCCCCCAGGUGACUGGUCUUGCUUCUAGUAGAACCUGCCUGCUCAGGAAGCAGGACAUAGGAGCUGGUGGUACCCAGACAGCUGCUGAGGUCCUUAUACUGACCAGGCCAGCCAUGCCUGGCAUUGGCCUUGAGUCCACCAGGCAGCUGCUCGCCUGAUCCUUGAGUCCCUCCCAGGGUUGUAGCCUCUAAGGGGUGAGUAGGCCAUCUUCCAGCUGGGGAAGCCUUUGGAGAGGACACCCACCCUCCCCAGGCACAUCUCCCCUGGGCUGUGGCAGCAGAGUGCAGAGGUGGGAGGUGGGGGGGCCUAGAAAAUCCUCACCCUCCAAGGGCAUCCUGGGGCAGGACAAGAGUGGAGGGCACAGGUGGCAGAGGGAGCCUAAGGGUGCAGACCCUCUGUCUUGGUCUUCUGCUGCCCUUAGCCACAGAAAUGUGCUUUGGAGGUGAAGAUGUCCUAGGACCUCUGAUCUCUGUCCCCACAGUCCAUGCAGGAUGUGGCUGGGGACAGUGGGGUUCUCUCCUAAGGCCACCUCAAUCUGGCAGACAGCCUAGUUCCUCAGUAGAAGCUGUACCAGGGCAUGAGGUGAAGAGGAACCAAGUGGGCUCAUGGCCAGAGCGAGGCAUGGCAGCUGAGGGCAGAUAAGUUCCUGGAUUGCUGCCUGGGUACUGUGGUCUCCCAUAUGCUUCUUCCUGAGCAGGCCAAGUCCACCAGGAGAAAGACCAGGGCCUGGAGCUUCCAGAGGCCAUCUUAGCUACUGGUCACCUUCUCACUCUGAUGCCCACUAUCCCAUGCCCUCACGACCACUGCCAGCCUGGAGCUCUUUGCUGUAGCCACCCAGAUUCCCCACAUGGCCACUGGAUGCCACAUUCACCACCCUGCAGCCGGACCCCAAUUACUGCUGCAGGAAUGAGAUGCUCACUGCUGGACACUGCCUGUUGUUGCUGCCCCUGCUUCUGGGCUCUUCUGGUGCCACCACCAUCGUGCAGCAAUUGAACUUUCAAACUCCAGCUGGAUUCUGACGCUGCCCACCAAGGACCCAACGUCACUGCACUUCACCCCAAGCCUGAUAUCCGACCCCUAUACUGAGGACCCCUGAUGCAGGUGCAUGUUGCUCUCACCCCUGCCAGACUUUGAAGCUCCACCCUGCUGUCACCAGACUUUAACAUGGACACCAGACAGUGAUGCUCAGCACUGGAUGCCAACUUUAUUGCAACUGCAGCCAGACUCUUGUCACUAUGGCAGGAUGACAACCCUCAGGACUGGAUGCCUCUGUUUUCACAACCACUCUUUCUGGAUCCUUCCACAGUCACCGCCAGCAUGAGUAGGAAGCAAGCUUUCUCUCCUUAAUUUGCACCCUUUAAGCUGAGCAUCAGGAAGAAGGAAACACCUGACAAGCUCAAGGAUCAGAAGGACACCAACCCUUCUCAAGUCAUUCUGGAAGCUGACUAGCCUGCAUGUGCCCAAAGCUAGAGGAAACAUCAGCCCUGCUUCAGCCACUGUGGGCUGGAUGAUCCACACAAGGUGUAAGAUAAACUCACCAACAGGAAAAUGGACUGUUUCUCCCUCUAAGACAGCUCUUAUACUCUCAUUGCCACCACUUACCUCUUUCAUAUACACAGUCCUUUCUUUUCUCUUGACUCUAGGACUGAUAACAAUCAAACACAUAGUUAACACUAUCAGAAAACUACCACAUGUACCAGUUCAAACCUGAAAGGGUAUUACGGUUGGCAUCCAAGCUCACUAGUUGGUGGAUGGUUUCCUGUUCUUGAUGGAUUCAAAUCUUAAUUGACAUAGCAGGGAUUAUGCUAUGAACUUGUUCAUUGCUUCCAUGUUUGCUUCCUCUUUACAUUACAACUAGUGGGUCUACUAUAGAAGCAGCUGUUAAAAAAAAAUAUGAUGUGACAUUAUAUAAAGCUUAAAGCCAAGAAGAUAAUAAUGCUUUUUGACUUAGAGGAUUAAAUAGUGAGCAUCAAAGGGGGUAAUGAUGUACCCCACAGAAGACCCCCAUCUUCAUUGUAAGAUAUAAGCCUCUCUCCUAGUCAAGGAGAUAAUUGUUUAAGAAGUGAGCAGGAUUUCUAGAGAACUUAUUGUGCUUUGCGCUCCUCUUUGUUGUGAAGGCCGGGUUUCUUGUAAAGGCCUGCAGGGCUGGGGUUGUGGUCAGUGACAGAGCACUUGCCUAGCAUAUGUGAGACCUGAGGUUUGAUUCUUGGCACCACCAAAAAACAGAAAAAAAUUACAUGUAUUAUUCUCAUCUACAAUUUAAAAAAAAAGGUCUCCAAUCAUGUGUGUUGAUGUGCAAAAGAUCUGUUUCCAUAGUAAAAAAAUUUGAAACCUCUUUCCAACCAAAGAACGUGGAACAAAAUGUAACUGUUAUGUUAACCAUUGUAUUGUACAACCACCAACUGAAUUCUCUGAGAAU